CACCACCAUAUCGAGCAAUUCUAUACUAUUAUAGAAACUUUUAUGUUAAAACUAGUAACAAGAAGAAGAACUUCUCCUUAAUGCAAGUGUAAAUCAGAAAGGACCCACCACUGAUAAUUAACACCUUUGAGCCCGCAGUAGUAACUCGACAAGAAAACUCUACUUAAUUUAGUGUUAACCUAACACAAGAGCAUUACAGGAAAGAUUAAAAAAGAAAGAAGGAACUCGGCAAACUUUAACCCCGCCUGUUUACCAAAAACAUCGCCUCUUGAAUGCUAUAAGAGGUCCAGCCUGCCCAGUGACUUUGUUCAACGGCCGCGGUAUCCUAACCGUGCGAAGGUAGCGUAAUCACUUGUUCUUUAAAUGAGGACUAGUAUGAAUGGCACCACGAAGGUUAUACUGUCUCCUUUCUUUAAUCAGUGAAACUAAUCUCCCCGUGAAGAAGCGGGGAUGUAACUAUAAGACGAGAAGACCCUAUGGAGCUUUAAACAUAAGUAACAAUUGCCCACCACAACAUCAAUCCACGGAUAUUAACCACAACAUUUAGGCAUCUUGAUUACAAGUUUUAGGUUGGGGUGACCGCGGAGCAAAAAAUAACCUCCGCAGUGAAUGGAACUUAUUUCCUAAACCCAGGGCUACGACCCUAAGAAUCAAUAAAUUGACACUAAUUGACCCAAUAUUUUGAUCAAUGAACCAAGUUACCCUAGGGAUAACAGCGCAAUCCACUUCAAGAGCCCCUAUCGACAAGUGGGUUUACGACCUCGAUGUUGGAUCAGGGUAUCCCAGUGGUGCAGCCGCUACUAAAGGUUCGUUUGUUCAACGAUU
rnacentral:rRNA from 1 species